rnacentral:rRNA from 1 species
ACGCGCGGAACCUUACCAGGUCUUGACAUCCCAUUGACCGCUAUGGAGACAUAGCUUUCCCUUCGGGGACAGCGGUGACAGGUGGUGCAUGGUUGUCGUCAGCUCGUGUCGUGAGAUGUUGGGUUAAGUCCCGCAACGAGCGCAACCCUUGAUCUUAGUUGCCAGCAUUUAGUUGGGCACUCUAAGGUGACUGCCGGUGACAAACCGGAGGAAGGUGGGGAUGACGUCAAAUCAUCAUGCCCCUUAUGACCUGGGCUACACACGUGCUACAAUGGAUGGUACAAAGGGCUGCAAAACCGCGAGGUCGAGCAAAUCCCAUAAAACCAUUCUCAGUUCGGAUUGUAGGCUGCAACUCGCCUACAUGAAGCUGGAAUCGCUAGUAAUCGCGGAUCAGCAUGCCGCGGUGAAUACGUUCCCGGGCCUUGCACACACCGCCCGU